rnacentral:rRNA from 1 species
CCAAUGCAUGCUUUUACAGUAUGAAAAUUGGUGAUUUAUAAUAACUUAGCAAAUCGCAAAGUGAAAACAGGCGAUAAAUCAUUCAAGUUUCUGACCUAUCAGCUUUCGACGGUAUGGUAUUGGCUUACCGUGGCAGUGACGGUUAACGGGGGAUUAGGGUUCGAUUCCGGAGAGGGAGCCUGAGAAACGGCUACCACAUCUAAGGAAGGCAGCAGGCGCGCAAAUUACCCAAUUCUAACAGUUUGAGAGAGGUAGUAACAAGAAAUAACAAUACAAGGCAGUUAAAAUGCUUUGUAAUUGGAAUGAUAGAAAUUUAAACCCUUUUUAAAGUAUCAAUUGGAGGGCAAGUCUGGUGCCAGCAGCCGCGGUAAUUCCAGCUCCAAUAGCGUAUAUUAAAAUUGUUGCAGUUAAAAAGCUCGUAGUUGAAGUUCUGCUAAAAGUAACCGGUCUGCUUUGAAUAAAAGUGGUAUCUUGGUAUGUAUUUAGCAAUGAUGUCCUUUGAAGUGUUUUUUACUUUAUUGUAAUAAAGCAUAUUCAGGACUUUUACUUUGAGAAAAUUAGAGUGUUUCUAGCAGGCCAACGCUUUGAAUACUGCAGCAUGGAAUAAUAAGAA